GGAGACUGCGGGCCCUCGCCCUGGCCCCGGUGCCACCAGUUUCCCUUGGCCGGGAUUCUUUGUGGCCUAGGCAGGCAGGCGCCCAUGCUGUCUCCACUCUGACCUAGGCACCCACCCACAUGAGGCGUCGGGAGGUGUGGGGCCGGGAGAACAUUGCUCUGCCUGGUUUCCUAGGCGGAGGCAGGUGUGUUGUCGGCAGAGACCCUCACUCAGGCCAAGUGCGUGAUGUCUCUUCUUCUUCCGCAGACGCCGAGCCCGGCACCCGGGAACCUGUUCCGGACGUGCCGCUCCCAACCAUGACUCCCAGCAUCGAGGAGGCUGACCACGACCACGACCACGACCACGACCACGACCACGACGCCGAGCCCGGCACCCGGGAACCUGUUCCGGACGUGCCGCUCCCAACCAUGACUCCCAGCACCGAGGAGGCUGACCACGACCACGACCACGACCACGACCACGACCACGACCACGACGCCGAGCCCGGCACCCGGGAACCCGUUCCGGACGUGCCGCUCCCAACCAUGACUCCCAGCACCGAGGAGGCUGACCACGACCACGACCACGACCACGACCACGACGCCGAGCCCGGCACCCGGGAACCUGUUCCGGACGUGCCGCUCCCAACCAUGACUCCCAGCACCGAGGAGGCUGACCACGACCACGACCAUGACCACGACCCCGACCCCGAGCACGACCACGACCACGACCACGACCACGACCACGACCACGGUAGGGGCCCGUGUGCCUUGUGUCCUCUGCCCCUGGGAGCCCGCUGGGUUGCCGGGGCUCCUUGAGCGAGAACGGGCUUUCCUAUUGCCUCCGGGACCGGGAAGGUGUCGCCAUGCGAUUCCUUGUCCCGAAACGCUGGCCUGUGCUCUGGAGCUGCGGGGACGUCCUCGGGGCUCUGCCCGGGAAGGAUGUGCUCCCUGGGGAGAGAGGGGCCGCGGUGCGAGUCAGGCGCUCCGAGACGGGGCCGUGUGUCCUCCCGGGUGCUCUGGUUGGCUGCACGCUGCCUGGGCCUGUCCGCAGGUUGUCCGUUUCUCUGCGUGGUGGUCUGCUGACCCGUGCGGGAGGGGCGUAGGCUUCCCCGCCCCCCACGUCUGCUCCCGCCAUGACCCACCCCGGGGGUCUGGUGCAGCACUCCCAGCCCGCAUGCCUGGCGUGGCCACGGAGGCUGCGAGUGCAGAAGCCUCAUGGGACCCGGCGUGGAGUGCCCCACUGCCCCUGGUGGCCCAGUGUGCGCAGCGGACUUAGGCGCGGGCACGCUGGGCUCCGCGAGGGUGGUGCUCUGUGCCUCUGCCUCUCCUGAGACGUCCUUGCCUUCCUCUUGGCGUUGGCUGGUCUCCGAGCUCCCGGGACAGCGUCCAGGAGGCGUGGCCGCUGCCUGAGGACAAGUCCUCGAUGUGCCUGCCCUCUGACGCUGGCACGAGCGUGUUCUGGACCCGUGCCGUGCCCCCAGGCAGCUGGGGAGUUGUCUGCCUUGUAGUGCGGCGGGCCACCAGGAGAAUCUGACCCAGUGUCCUGGAUGGGCCAGUUCCCAGUCGUGCGCUCGUGGCCCAGACCAGACCCGGGCUGGUGUGUGGAGCCAGCCACGCGGGCCCGUCUGUCCUCCGUGCCCUGAGUGGGCGCAGAUGAGAGAGGGCGCGGUUGCUCCGUCCGCUUUUCUCCCCUCUCGCCCCCAUGCGGGGAGCCGUCCAGCGAGGCCUGGCUGGACUGAGCCCGUGCCGGACACGGUGCUCCGUUGCCGUCCUGGAGGGCCCAGAGGAUUGCUCGAGGUGUGCCCACCAGGCCCCU
ensembl:lncRNA